AUUGAACGCUGGCGGCAAGCCUAACACAUGCAAGUCGAACGAGUGGCGGACGGGUGAGUAAUGUCUGGGAAACUGCCUGAUGGAGGGGGUAAACACCUGAAAAGGGUAGCUAAUCCCGCAUACCACCGGUUGUUCCCAGAUGGGUUUAGCUAGUAGGUGGGGUAAAGGCUCACCUAGGCGACGAUCCCUAGCUGGUCUGAGAGGUUGACCGGCCACACUGGAACUGAGACACGGUCCAGACUCCUACGGGAGGCAGCAGUGGGGAAUAUUGCACAAUGGGCGCAAGCCUGAUGCAGCCAUGCCGCGUGUAUGAAGAAGGCCUUCGGGUUGUAAAGUACUUUCAGCGGGGAGGCGUUACCCGCAGAAGAAGCACCGGCUAACUCCGUGCCAGCAGCCGCGGUAAUAC
rnacentral:rRNA from 1 species